rnacentral:rRNA from 1 species
GAUGAACGCUGGCGGCGUGCCUAAUACAUGCAAGUCGAGCGAACAGACUAGGAGCUUGCUCCUCUGACGUUAGCGGCGGACGGAUGAGUAACACGUGGAUAACCUACCUAUUAGACUGGGAUAAACUCGGGAAACCGCAGCUAAUACCGGAUAAUAUAUUCAACCGCAUGGUUCAAUAGUAAAAUACGGUUUUGCUGUCACUUAUAGAUGAAUCUGGGCCGCAGUAGCUAGUUGGUAAGGUAACGACUUACCAAGACAACGAUGGGUAGCAGACCUGAGAGGGUGAUAGGCGACACUGGAACUGAGAAACGGUCCAGACCCCUACGAGAGGCAGCAGUAGCGAAUCCUCAGGAAUGGGCGAAAGGCGGACGGAGCAACGCCGCGUGAGUGAUGAAGGUCUUCGGAUCGUAAGACUCUGUUAUUAGGGAAGAUCAAAUGAGCAAGUAACUACGCACGACUUGACGGUACCUAAUCAGAAAGCCACGGCUAACUACGUG